rnacentral:rRNA from 1 species
CAGUAGCCGCGGGAAUACGGAGGGGGCUAGCGUUGUUCGGAAUUACUGGGCGUAAAGCGCACGUAGGCGGCUUGGUAAGUUAGAGGUGAAAGCCUGGAGCUCGACUCCAGAAUUGCCUUUAAGACUGCCGAGCUAGCAGGUGAGAGAGGUAAGUGGAAUUCCGAGUGUAGAGGUGAAAUUCGUAGAUAUUCGGAAGAACACCAGUGGCGAAGGCGGCUUACUGGCUCAUACUGGACGCUGAGGUGCGAAAGCGUGGGGAGCAAACAGGAUUAGAUACCCCCGUAGUCCCUGUCUCUUAUAC